AUGCAGUCGAGCGGACAGAUGGGAGCUUGCUCCCUGAUGUUAGCGGCGGACGGGUGAGUAACACGUGGGUAACCUGCCUGUAAGACUGGGAUAACUCCGGGAAACCGGGGCUAAUACCGGAUGCUUGUUUGAACCGCAUGGUUCAAACAUAAAAGGUGGCUUCGGCUACCACUUACAGAUGGACCCGCGGCGCAUUAGCUAGUUGGUGAGGUAAUGGCUCACCAAGGCAACGAUGCGUAGCCGACCUGAGAGGGUGAUCGGCCACACUGGGACUGAGACACGGCCCAGACUCCUACGGGAGGCAGCAGUAGGGAAUCUUCCGCAAUGGACGAAAGUCUGACGGAGCAACGCCGCGUGAGUGAUGAAGGUUUUCGGAUCGUAAAGCUCUGUUGUUAGGGAAGAACAAGUACCGUUCGAAUAGGGCGGUACCUUGACGGUACCUAACCAGAAAGCCACGGCUAACUACGUGCCAGCAGCCGCGGUAAUACGUAGGUGGCAAGCGUUGUCCGGAAUUAUUGGGCGUAAAGGGCUCGCAGGCGGUUUCUUAAGUCUGAUGUGAAAGCCCCCGGCUCAACCGGGGAGGGUCAUUGGAAACUGGGGAACUUGAGUGCAGAAGAGGAGAGUGGAAUUCCACGUGUAGCGGUGAAAUGCGUAGAGAUGUGGAGGAACACCAGUGGCGAAGGCGACUCUCUGGUCUGUAACUGACGCUGAGGAGCGAAAGCGUGGGGAGCGAACAGGAUUAGAUACCCUGGUAGUCCACGCCGUAAACGAUGAGUGCUAAGUGUUAGGGGUUUCCGCCCCUUAGUGCUGCAGCUAACGCAUUAAGCACUCCGCCUGGGGAGUACGGUCGCAAGACUGAAACUCAAAGGAAUUG
rnacentral:rRNA from 1 species